rnacentral:lncRNA from 1 species
GUCAGCCUUGCAUAAGCAGAAGACUUGAAUGAAAAGAUUACUUGUUUACUUUUUUUGUUUGUUUGGUUUUGUUUGGUUUUGUUUUUUGAGACAGGGUCUUACUAUGUAGUUGAGACUGACCUGGAACUCACUAUGUAGUCCAGGUUGGUCUCGAACUCACAGUGAUCCUCCUGCCUCAGCCUCCCAAGUGCUGGGAUUACAGGCGUGCGCCACCAAGCCUGGUUUACUCGUUUACUUUUUAAACACUCAUCAAAUAUUAAAUGAGUACCUACUCUGGCUGAGGCUCGCCUGUGAGUGCCUGCCCCUCUCCAGGCUCUCAGAAGCAUGUCAACUUGACCAUAUUCUCUGGUGUCCUAGCAACCAGAAACUCUGAUCCGCACUCUAGUCAGGACAGAGGUCAUUCCUCCCUGACCGCUAGGACUCGCAGCCUCCCCAAGCCUCUGAUGACCUGUCCGUGCAGCUGUUUAGGAGCACUGACACCACCACUUUUUUCCAAGAACCUCAGCCCCUCUGACCCACCACCCUGGCAAGAUGAGCUUCUCGCUCACAUUCACUGAGUUGGUCAAUGUUGCCAUACUGCAUUGCGGGAUGGUGAACUUCAAGGCCCAACAUCUUCUGCUCCAGGGCAUCCUGGAGCACAUCCACAUGGCUGAUCUCAAGAAGGUCCUCUCAGGCGAUGAGGACUUCCUCCAGACCUCACAGGUGAUGCUUAUGCCCAGGGAAGGAGAUGCCCAGCCCAUCCUUAGCCCCAUGAAGCGGCUCAGCAACAUCUUUGACCACGUGGUGAACCGUAUUGACAAGAUAGAGAACCAGCUGGCCAUCCUGCAGGACCUGCCCUGUGCCACCCAGCUGCUGGAGGGCAGUCAAGGGACUGGCCGGCCCAUCGAGGACCUGUGGCAUCUGAUCAAGCUGAGGAAGAUGGUGGAGGGCAAUGAAGAAGCCAUAGCAAAGUCCAUACAGACCCUGCAGGAUUUGCUCACUGAUCUUUAUGCACUCAAGGUCAAAGUUGAAGACCUCAGGAAGGAUGUGGACAUGCUAAAGGAUAUGUUUGAAAAGGUGCACCUAGAAAGACUGGAUCUCUUCUCUGAAGACUUGAAGACUCAGAACCGGCAGAUGAUUGUACUGAAGCGUGAAGUGCUGGUCCCCAGUGAUCUGGAUGCUCUGAAGAAAGAGGUGGCAGAGAUCUGGCAAGCAGUCAGGAAGGUGAUGAUGGAGGGCUUCCGACUUGACCCUGACCGCGCAGCAGGCUUCAAAAGGUGA